rnacentral:rRNA from 1 species
ACGUAGGGUGCAGGCGUUAAUCGGAAUUACUGGGCGUAAAGCGUGCGCAGGCGGCUUCCUAAGUCAGAUGUGAAAUCCCCGGGCUCAACCUGGGAACUGCGUUUGAAACUGGGAGGCUAGAGUGCGGCAGAGGGAGGUGGAAUUCCACGUGUAGCAGUGAAAUGCGUAGAUAUGUGGAGGAACACCGAUGGCGAAGGCAGCCUCCUGGGCCAGCACUGACGCUCAUGCACGAAAGCGUGGGGAGCAAACAGGAUUAGAUACCCUGGUAGUCCACGCCCUAAACUAUGUCGACUAGUUGUUGGGGGAGUCUGUCCCUCAGUAACGCAGCUAACGCGUGAAGUCGACCGCCUGGGGAGUACGGUCGCAAGAUUA